UACGAAGGGGGCUAGCGUUGUUCGGAAUUACUGGGCGUAAAGGGCGCGUAGGCGGCUGUCCAAGUCAGAUGUGAAAGCCCCGGGCUUAACCUGGGAAUUGCAUUUGAGACUGAAUAGCUAGGGUGCGGUAGAGGGAAGCGGAAUUUCCGGUGUAGCGGUGAAAUGCGUAGAUAUCGGAAGGAACAUCAGUGGCGAAAGCGGCUUCCUGGACCAGCACCGACGUUCAGGCACGAAAGCGUGGGGAGCAAACAGG
rnacentral:rRNA from 1 species